rnacentral:miRNA from 1 species
UAUUUGCGCUAGAUAGCGC